rnacentral:rRNA from 1 species
UACGUAGGGAGCAAGCGUUGUCCGGAAUCAUUGGGCGUAAAGCGCGUGUAGGCGGCUCGAUAAGUCUGCUGUGAAAGUCCAGGGCUCAACCCUGGGAUGCCGGUGGAUACUGUCGAACUCGAGUCCGGAAGAGGCGAGUGGAAUUCCUGGUGUAGCGGUGAAAUGCGCAGAUAUCAGGAGGAACACCAAUGGCGAAGGCAGCUCGCUGGGACGUGACUGACGCUGAGACGCGAAAGCGUGGGGAGCAACAGG